CCUCUCAAUAAGAUUUUCUUUGUCUUCUUUAAGGACAUACUGAAUUCAUUUAUACAGCAAAGGAUGAAGUAAAAUUGUUUUGCGACACCAACAAAUGGGAAAUAAACACAGAGUCUGACAACAACAUUGAUGUGAAUUGCACAGUGGAGUGUGUUCAUGGUGAAGCACUCAAACUUCAUAAUACCCAGAAUUCCUGCAAAAAUAAAGAUUCAGUCAAAGUUGGUGAAAAAUGUUCGCUAAUAGCGAGCAGUGGAUUUUAUCGAUGUGUUACUGCUCUGGAUUCUGGUUUCUUAUUUCCAUUCAAACCGUCUCCCAACACUGUCACAUCGUACAUAGUCGCCACUGCAAAUGAAGAAAUGACAAACAAGUCUGAGGAAAGAUCUUCAGUCGAGCUAACUGAAGGUGAAGAUGUACUUUUAAACUGCAGUGUCAUCUUUACAAAAGAAUAUGACAACAAGAACUUUGUAGUGUACUGGAUCAAGACCAUUGGAAAGAACAGUACCUGUGUGUAUUCUUAUGAUUUUGAUUUAUAUACUCGUAUAAGAUACAAUCCCCACUGCAAUGUGCAAGAAGAACUGCUUUACAGACUCUCAAACCAAACUGAAGGCAAAAUCACCCAUAACAUCAGGAUCAGUAACGUAACAGACUCAGAUGCUGGACAAUAUCUUUGUGCCUUACAAGUGCACACACAUAAUAAAACAAAAGGAAAGUGGAAGAUCAUAAAUAAUAUUACAGUCAGUGUACAGAAAGACAAAGGACAUGAAAUAGCUGGAAACAGCGCUGAGUCUCUGAUCCGCUUGUGUGUUACACUGCCAGUAAUACUGGGUAUUCCGGCAGCUCUUAUGGUGGUAUAUUUAUGGAAAAAGAUGAAAAUUUCACCAAGAUCUCAGGCUAUGGAACUGCAAACAAUCCAACAUUGAGAAGAAACUCCUGAUAUGAACUUUGAGGCAUGAGAGUAACACAGCACUUAGGAAGAGCUGACGUUUAAAACGUGUUAAAUAUGUGCUCUUUAUUAUGCUUUCUUUUACUUAAUGAAACUCUCCCAAUACUGUCCCAGCAUGUGUCUUUCUCAUUUCAAACCUACAAAAUUAGUCAAAAAAUUAAUCUGACUUUGGGUCAAAUUUAAUGGUUCUGUAUUUUCUUUCUAAGAAUAAAAAAGCAUUAGAAUGUU